rnacentral:rRNA from 1 species
UACGGAGGGUGCAAGCGUUAAUCGGAAUUACUGGGCGUAAAGCGCGCGUAGGUGGUUUGUUAAGCGAGAUGUGAAAGCCCCGGGCUCAACCUGGGAAUGCAUUUCGAACUGGCAGGCUAGAGUAUGGUAGAGGUAAGUGGAAUUUCCUGUGUAGCGGUGAAAUGCGUAGAUAUAGGAAGGAACACCAGUGGCGAAGGCGA